UAGUAACCUAGAAACAGUCUCUCAGCUCGCUUUCGCUCUCAAACCAAUCUUCUCCCUCGCUCUGGUACACAACAGAAAUCUUUGAAAGGAAAACCCAAUCCAACAUCAAUCUCGAUCAAUUCAUGGUAGCUUGAAUCUUAGCCAUCUUCUUCUUUCCCUUAUUUGCAGACUCCUCUUCGAUAAGCUCGACGAGCUUCCAACUGUUCUGUUCAAUGAAUCAACCCUAAGUAUUCAUCUCACUUUGCCUAGGCAGCAACACAGGCGGUUUAAGCGGAGCCUGUUAUCUCUUUAACCCAAAAGCUGAAGAGAAAAGUUCAAGGCCAAGCCCACUGAUUACUACCACUUCUCCACUCACGAAGAGAUGGAUCUAGAUGAAUUUGUACAUGAAGAGAUGGGUUGAAUCCAAAAGCUAAAGAGAAAAUGUCAAGGGCAAGCCCACUGAUUACUACCACUUCUCCACUCACGAAGAGAUGGAUCUAGAUGAAUUUGUACAUGUUUUGCACAUUCCGAUUUUGAAUUUGGGGUUCAGUUGAAGAUUCAAAGCUAGUUGGUUCAAAAAAGCUUAAAGAGGUUAGGGAUUUGGGGAACCUAAUUGGGUUGUACACAGAGUGGCACUCUCAUUUGCUGCCCUAUUACUCAUUCGAUCAGUUUGUGCAUGAAGUGGAACAAGUGGUGGCCACAAAAAGAGUCAAGUGCAGCUGCCACAGAAACUGAGUAUAUCUGCCGUUGGUAAGCGUGAGAAACUUAUGCGUAUGAUCAAGAACCCUAUGACACAGUAUUUACCUGUUAACUCCCGGAAAGUAGGACUCUCGUACAGUUCAGAGAAACUAGUUAGCAUUCAAAAAUAUGUUGCUGCUGCUGAAAACAAUAUGGACCUUGUUUUUGUGGAGUAUGGUGCAUACAAGAAGGGAAGCUUUGACAAGAUGCUUGCAGAUGAUAACACUCACAGGGUUCAUAUUCUUGCUCACAUUUGCGCUGCUUGGCUAUGUGAGUAAAACUUUUUUGCCUAGAUAUAUUCACCAAGGUUGGAUUCAACUCCUCUUAGAUGGGUCAAUUCUGCUCAUGGAUUGCUACUUUUCCUAUACCAGGUAGCUCAAGACUAAAUAAUAAAGGUUCGAUGUUGGACAAGGAGUUCAGAAGUUCAAAGCGGGCGACAGAGUUGUAGCAUUUCACCAUGUGAGAAGAGCCUCUGCUUCAGAAUUGGAAUGAACAGAGGUAGUAGAAGAAAAUGCUUACAACUGAAGCUGCUCAAGGCACAAGGUUGUGUUGACUACUUGUUUCUAUGUAAUUAGUCAAGAUAAUGCAUUGAUGACUUGUACAUUUGGAGUUGUUAAUAUAA